GAUGAAGAACGUAGCGAAAUGCGAUAAGUAAUGUGAAUUGCAGAAUUCAGUGAAUCAUCGAAUCUUUGAACGCACCUUGCGCCCUUUGGCUAUUCCGAAGGGCAUGCCUGUUUGAGUAUCAUGAACACCUCAACUCUCGUGGUUUGCUACGAUGAGCUUGGACUUUGGGGGUUUUGCUGGCCUGUGGUCGGCUCCUCUCAAAUGAAUCAGCUUCCCAGCGUUUGGUGGAGUCGCAGGUGUGAUACCUAUCUACGCUUGUGGUUUUUCGCCAGAUAACCUUUGGUGACGGAGGUUCGUUGGGGCUCAUAAAUGUCUCUCCUCAGUGAAGAAAGCUUUUGAACGUUUGAUCUCAAAUCAGGUAGGACUACCCGCUGAACUUAAGCAUAUCAAUAAGCGGAGGA
rnacentral:misc_RNA from 1 species